rnacentral:lncRNA from 1 species
GUAGAAGUUAAUAGAGAAAAUUGAGGUAAUUUGAGCUUCAGCAGCAAUCAUUAAGCCGAGGAAGCUCCAUUAGAUACCUAAGUAUAAAUAAAGGCAGUGUACAAUGGUGACUCGCGGGGGGCCUUUAAUUAGGAAGGCUCGGAUAAUACAUGAUUUGUGUUGAUUGAUGUGUAUUUAUUCGUAUUUUUCUCUCAUAUUUUUUCCUCUUGUCAUUUUCUUUUGUAAGAAAGCUAAAAAGAUGCCCCAGGAAUGAAGAGGAAAGGAGAUCCUCUGUUUUCCUCUCAACAUUUUCGGAUUUCUAUUAAUUCAUUUUUUGGGGGAGAGGAGGGGGAAGGGUAAAGUAGAUAAGUAAUAUACGUUUUAUAUACGAUAUUUAAACAUUUUACCGGAGAGAAAAGCCCAUUGAACACUUAAAACUCCGAUUGAAAUGAGUGUAGAAAGUUUAAACCUAUCUGUUGCUAAACAAUAUCUCUCUAUUUAUCUGAAAUUGUGCCAAAAUACGUAUCUAAACUGUAUCCUAAUUUGUUUUAUGCCGAGCGCAAACACAACGUAAAUGAGCAAACCAAGUCGCGUGAUAUGCCAUGUCCGGCCUGCCCUAUGACUCGAUCCACCGUGCGCCGGAAGAGAAGAUUCAGACGUGCCAAUUGAAAGCUGACAUUAAGAGGAAAGCUACAGAAGAUCUUUCAGCUGGACCGAGUAAGCCAAGGUUCACUUCGCUAAACCGUCGCGGAUCGAGGUACCUACACCACACUCUACAAAAGUUGCUCAUUUUGUUCAAAUCGUUCUCGCAUUGCUGCUCUUACAAUUCAAUUCUAUAUUUUUGAUCCGGCGAAAACAUUGCUGAGGUGAGUAGUCCGGUAUCGCUCUUAGGGACAAUUUUUUACGUUUUUCAGGGAA